GACGAACGCUGGCGGCGUGCUUAACACAUGCAAGUCGAACGGAAAGGCCCUGCUUUUGUGGGGUGCUCGAGUGGCGAACGGGUGAGUAACACGUGAGUAACCUGCCCUUGACUUUGGGAUAACUUCAGGAAACUGGGGCUAAUACCGGAUAGGAGCUCCUGCUGGAUGGUGGGGGUUGGAAAGUUUCGGCGGUUGGGGAUGGACUCGCGGCUUAUCAGCUUGUUGGUGGGGUAGUGGCUUCCCAAGGCUGUGACGGGUAGCCGGCCUGAGAGGGUGAACGGCCACAUUGGGACUGAGAUACGGCCCAGACUCCUACGGGAGGCAGCAGUGGGGAAUAUUGCACAAUGGGCGGAAGCCUGAUGCAGCAACGCCGCGUGCGGGAUGACGGCCUUCGGGUUGUAAACCGCUUUCGCCUGUGACGAAGCGUGAGUGACGGUAAUGGGUAAAGAAGCACCGGCUAACUACGUG
rnacentral:rRNA from 1 species